AUGAAUGGAAGAAAAAAAAACUGUCACGAAAUAUAAAAUUUCGCGUUUUUGGCGGGAAAAGACGAAAUUUUUCGGAAAACACUUCUCGCGACAGUUAUUAACUGUCAUAGAAUGUUAGGGUUAAAAUUUUUUUCUUUUUUCCUUCUCUUUUCUUUUUCCUUUUUCUUUCUUUUCCCUAUUUCCUUCUUCCUCCCCGUGCGUCCUUCCCCUUCUCCCCAGCCGCAACCGCCGCGCCUCUUCUCCUUCCUCCCGUACGCCGCGACGACUCCACCGUCUCCUUCUCCCUUCCCUUCCGUUUCCUUCCCACCGCAGCCCAGCCGCAGCCAGCCGUCUUUCUCUUCCCUUUUCUUCCCGCCGCAGCCCAGCCGUAGCCCGCGAUCUGCCGUCUCCAUCUCCGGUUCGCGAAGCAACCUUGCAGCAGUCGUCCGCGCGCCGAUCUGCCGUCUCCAUCGCCGGUUCUGUCUUCGUCGAAGCCCGAGCCGCCGUGUGAACCAGUAACCGCCACGUUCGCCGCUCACAACCGCCGGUCGUCGAUCCACAUUCUGUUUUCCUCUUCAUUCAAUUUCCCUUGAAAAAACCCUCACCCAUCGGAUUUCAAGACAAUCGAAGCAACCUCAAGAGGGAAAUCAAGACAAUCAAGCCGUCCCGAUGGGUGGUGCCUGUUUUUGAUUGGUUGCAACGCGAAGGGGCUUUGGCUUUGGGCCCUGAAGGCCCUUUGGUUGAGGAAUUUUGGGAUAAUGUUAGAAGAUACGCAAUUUACGCCCUUACUGUGAGUACCGGUGCUAUAUAUACUAUUCUUCACUUUAUUUUGGAACUGAUUUUUGGGGGUGCCAUUCUCCAAGGUUUGUGAAGAGGCAUUCACCAUUUACCUAUAUUAUUGUGGACAAUAAAACGUAAGUAUUUGGAUUUCCAUGCUCCUCCUCUGUAAUUGAGUGUAAAGGUCGUCUUGUUUUUGGCUUGUUUUGGUUUUCAUCUUGCCCCUGUAUAUUCUUUAUCUCUUUUUUUUCGUUACUGGUGUUAAACUUUACUCUAAAAAAAUAUGGACGGUGUUGGAACUUUGGAAAAAUGCAAAUGCAGUAUCCUUUGAUUUUGAUUGCAUAAUUUGGAUUUAGUGAUAAUCAUUGAGGUAGCCUUGCACCGUUUGGAUUUUGAUAGCAUAUUGCAAAUGUGUGUAUUUUGUGGCGAAAAAUCUAUGUGAGAAUAUGUAUGGUUAUUCUCUAUUGUCCUUCAUUUUUUAUGUUUGUUGUCCUUCAAUUUUAGAAAUUUGUUAUUUUCUUAGAAGAUCAUCAUUGCUAAACAUAACUUUAUUUUUUAGAAGAUCAUCAUUGAUAAACAUCAUCGGCCAUGUUUAUGAUCAUAGAAAACUUAUCUUCUGAUGCAUGCUAAUAUGAUUCUUGUACCAAGAUUUUCAAUAUCUUCAACUCAUGUAGCAUUUUUUUUAUGUGAGAUCUUAAGACCCAGAUAUGCAAGCAGCUUUAACUCUCCUUCAAACGCUGUUUGAUCGUUUGUAUGUUGACAAGCAAAUGCAAUGGGUCUUAAACCCUUUUCUUCCAUUUCUCUAAUCUUCUUUUCCAGGUUUUGCAUGAAUAUGAUCUACUAUAGUGUUGAAGCUACCAAGUAAGUGAUUAUAUUUACACAACAAUUAUGAGGGUCUUUUUACAACGAGUUAUAUUGUUAUGUUUAAUGUUACUCUUAUGAGUUUUUAUUGAUAUGUUUAAUAUUACUUUGUUGCUUCAUACCCAAGUUGUUGAUUCGUAUCUCUCUAUUGUUUGUCCCUAUUUUGAUAUUGAUUUUUCCUUUGUUUUUUUGUUUAUUACCUAAAUUGUGCUAUUUGCUAUCAUUUUCCUUCUUUUAAAUAUUAUUUGGCAUUUGACCUUUUGAUUUUGUUUGGGCACUUUUGGUGUCCUAUUUGUUUUAGUUUUGUUAUAAAACAGAAGUUUUGACUUCUAUGGUCAACAUGAAAGAUGAAUACAAAGGUCGUUGGUUCAUAAAGCUAAGGUUUGUUCAACUAGUUAUGAAUGUUGAUAUAUUGUUCUCGUAGGAUCAAUUGAUUUUGGAUGAUUAUCUGCUUUUGGGUUCUUAUAAAAUGAUUUGUACUAGUCAAAAAUGAUUUUUAAUCCUCUGGAGACCACUCUCCAACAUUCUCUUUUUUUGUGUCUUAAACAGCUAAAUUGAGAUAUUGAGAGUGUUGUUUUUGGCGACAGAUUAGAGCGAUUUUCAGGUGAGUUUCAGUUGUGUGUGUUCUGUUUUAGUUGUGGGUUCUUUUAGGAUUCUUCUAACCUGUGCACAUUUUUAGCAGUUAGUAUGAUAAGCAUACUAUCUAUACACCUAAAACCCAUUGUACUAUUUAUUAUAUUGACGUAUUCAAUAUUGAUUGUGGACUGUGUAUUCUAGAGAGAAAGAGUGAGUUGGGUAUGUUUUUGGUAUGUGUAUCCUAGAGAGAAAGAGUAGCAGUAUGUUUUUGUUUGCUGUGUUUGCCUAAUAUAGUCCUCAUGGUCUUCUCUUUUCAUUUCAUGGAAUCAAGUGUUGAAGUUCUUGUUUGUGUUCUGUAUUUUGUUGAGACGAUGAUUUAGUUAUUCAUUGACUGUACGUAUGUGUUAUGGAUUCUUUGUAGGUUCAACUGGAGUCGACAAGUUCAUGAGUUUUGUUUCAAAUAUCAUUUCCAGAAACGAACAUUCUUGGUUGGUCCAGUCAAAUAUAUUCGAAUGCUAUUUAAGAUAUUUUUUGAUUAAGGGUUAGUAUUUCGUACAUGUGGAUUACUGAAACUUGUAUUAAGAUGUACAAAUAUUAUAAAUCGUAUUAUAGUGUAUAAAUAUUAAAGUGUUGGCUAUUUUCUUGUACAUUGGUGUGAAACUUGUAUAAUUUCAAAUUUGUCAUUCUCAGCUACAUUAUUGUCAUUCUAAUGGUUCGUGUAA